AACGAACGCUGGCGGCAGGCUUAACACAUGCAAGUCGAGCGCCCCGCAAGGGGAGCGGCAGACGGGUGAGUAACGCGUGGGAAUCUACCCAUCUCUACGGAAUAACGCAUGGAAACGUGUGCUAAUACCGUAUACGUCCUUCGGGAGAAAGAUUUAUCGGAGAUGGAUGAGCCCGCGUUGGAUUAGCUAGUUGGUGGGGUAAAGGCUUACCAAGGCGACGAUCCAUAGCUGGUCUGAGAGGAUGAUCAGCCACACUGGGACUGAGACACGGCCCAGACUCCUACGGGAGGCAGCAGUGGGUAAUAUUGGACAAUGGGCGCAAGCCUGAUCCAGCCAUGCCGCGUGAGUGAUGAAGGCCCUAGGGUUGUAAAGCUCUUUCGCCGGUGAAGAUAAUGACGGUAACCGGAGAAGAAGCCCCGGCUAACUUCGUGCCAGCCGCCGCGGUAACAC
rnacentral:rRNA from 1 species